rnacentral:rRNA from 1 species
GUUAUAUGGUCAAGUGAAGAAGCGCAUACGGUGGAUGCUUGGCAGUCAGAGGCGAUGAAAGACGUGGUAGCCUGCGAAAAGCUUCGGGGAGUCGGCAAACAGACUUUGAUCCGGAGAUCUCUGAAUGGGGGAACCCACCUAGGAUAACCUAGGUAUCUUGUACU